rnacentral:lncRNA from 1 species
AUCAAACUGUUUUGUGAACUCUCUUGAAAGAGUAAAGGAGAAACAUGAAGCAGUCUCUAAGCACCCUGGCUCUGGGGCUGCAACUUGCAUUUCUUUCCCAGCCCUCUCUUUGCACAGAGCCAGCACUGGUCCGUGCUGGGCAGGGACUCACUCUGUGUGAGUGUGCCUUGGUAGAUGUUCUCAAGCUUGGAAAGCGUUUGAAUGAAGAGCUUGCCUUUUUUGGAGCCUUUCAUGGGUCCCCUCUGAUAAUUGGUGUUGGUUGCAAAUUUUGCUAAAAA